AGAUGGAAGGCGGAAGCAGUUAUCCUUCCUUCGGGAAGUGCACGGAACCGUUAAGUGUUAGACAGUUGACAAUGAUGGGGGAGUGAACUACAGCUAUUUAAAAGGAAACUGCAGCUGAAGCAUUCAACAGCGGGCGAUGUGGAGGGAAGGUUAAAGCUGUCUGAACAUGUGCUACCAUACUACAGUUAAUUAAUUGGUCAAGUCAAUAAAUGAACUUUAUCUUUACAUCUAUUAGUGCACUUAACUGUGGAGUAGCUAAUGUGUGUGCUUAUCUAGAGCAUAAAUAGAGUGCAUAUUUGGCCAUUAGUUAACACUUCAUAGAGUCUGUUUUGAUAGGGUGUUGUUAAGACUUGUGGGACUCCUCUCGGUCCGGUUUCAGUCAUUUAUUCCUGGAUGCUGUAAAAACACUUGCUGUGGUUUGGUAGAUUAACAGAAAGCCCCCUAAUGGAGUAAUUACACAGAGCCAAACAUCUAUUUUUCACCUGUGCUCUGCCAUUACUCUCCGUCCCCCAUCCACUCCAUUGGAAGUCACUUACUCUCCUUACAAUGAGUUAUCAUUGACUGCCAUUUAGGCGUUCUGGAGCAAUUUGUCUUACUGAGGCCGUGGGCUGGCCUCAUUGCAGUGAACAAUCAUUCUCUUUCCAAUAUAUAAAACAUUCAUGGGGAAAAAAGGAGAGAAAACACUGCACAAACAGAUAGUGGAGAGUGGCUAAUAGAUACUCUGAAAGAGACAUACAAGAAAAUAAUGGAGUAGAUUAAAGAGGAAGGUACAUGCCUGGACGUUGCAGUACAAAUAUAGAGACUCUGCCAUAGGGCUGGAGUUCCAGAAGUCAGAUUAUAUCUGUCAAAUGUGGGUGCUACGAUUAUUAGUGCUUGAAUUUACUGUAAAUAAAAACUUGAGACUAGAUACUUUUCAAAUCAUGAACUGUUAUUUGUAAAACACGUAUCAGAAUGAUUGAACUCUAAACACUAAUUUAAUCUCAUGUAAAUAUCUUUUGACUUUAUUUGAUAUAUGACACUGGAAUUUGACAUAAGUAACAUAAGUAACCUUUUUCAUGAGACCAUAGUGAGGUGUGAUAAGAUAUGGACAAAUUACAUUAGGUAUCAUUAAUCCUGACUUCUUUUAAAAUGGGCACUUGAGAGAUAUAGUCUCUUCUUUUCUGCUUGGCAAUUAAUUGAUCAAAUAAAGAUAUUGAUUGGCUCAAGGAUCCUCUCCUCUGGAGAAUAACCUGUGGACACCAUGGCCCUGAGAGCACUGGAGAUGUGUACCUUUCUCACUUUGAAUCAACCAGAUAAGACAUGUGUCAACCGUGCUGUACAGUACUAGUCACAAUAGUACUAGGGGUGUUAUACAUAGCCUACCCACUAUCUCUCACCUACUGGAGGUAUGAAUGGAUAUUGCCUUACUUUUAAAACACAGCCCAUUAAAGUGACAUGCUGUUGAUAGUUUAUUUUUAAUUGUCUAUGACUCUAGUUUAGUAAUGGAGCAUUAUUGCUAAAAUCAUAGACAGAAAUUGUACUUUUUGUGUGUUGC
ensembl:lncRNA